UAAUAAAAGUGUUUAUGGCACUUUUCAAACAAAUCCAUAUCCACCUUGGUGUGCAAUGUCCUUUUUUUAUAAUUGAACACCUUUCUUUAAUUGACAAUUGUAUCUGAAGAUCAGUAUUAUUAUGAAUUAACUUAAUUCAAAAUA
rnacentral:misc_RNA from 1 species